CUCUUAGGCAAAUCCGGGAUCACUUACGCCGAGCACCGAGACGAGUCCUAUGAGGACGAAGUGACUGACACCACGCUUCCAGGAAAAGCCACUAAGCUUCAGCUUAAGAAAAACCGUACCGCAAACCGACACAGGUAGGCAGGGUGAGAAUCCCAAGGCGCUUGAGAGAACUCGGGUGAAGGAACUAGGCAAAAUGGCACCGUAACUUCGGGAGAAGGUGCGCCCUUUGGUGUGGUCACGUGCGUGACUGAGCAUCGAAGGGUCGCAGUAACCUGGCCGCUGCGACUGUUUAUCAAAAACACAGCACUCUGCAAACACGAAAGUGGACGUAUAGGGUGUGACGCCUGCCCGGUGCUGGAAGGUUAAUUGAUGGGGUCAGCCGCAAGGCGAAGCUCUUGAUCGAAGCCCCAGUAAACGGCGGCCGUAACAAUAACGGUCCUAAGGUAGCGAAAUUCCUUGUCGGGUAAGUUCCGACCUGCACGAAUGGCGUAACGACAGCGGCGCUGUCUCCACCCGAGACUCAGUGAAAUUGAAAUCGCUGUGAAGAUGCAGCGUUCCCGCGGCAAGACGGAAAGACCCCGUGAACCUUUACUAUAGCUUUACACUGAACGUUGAGUUCUUCUGUGUAGGAUAGGUGGGAGGCUAUGAAACCAGGACGCUAGUUCUGGUGGAGCCAUCCUUGAAAUACCACCCUGAAGUGCUUGACGUUCUAACCUAGGCCCGUAAUCCGGGUCAGGGACCGUGUAUGGUGGGUAGUUUGACUGGGGCGGUCUCCUCCCAAAGAGUAACGGAGGAGCACGAAGGUACGCUCAGCGCGGUCGGACAUCGCGCACUGUGUGCAAAGGCAUAAGCGUGCUUGACUGCGAGAUCGACGGAUCAAGCAGGUACGAAAGUAGGUCUUAGUGAUCCGGUGGUUCUGUAUGGAAGGGCCAUCGCUCAACGGAUAAAAGGUACUCCGGGGAUAACAGGCUGAUACCGCCCAAGAGUUCAUAUCGACGGCGGUGUUUGGCACCUCGAUGUCGGCUCAUCACAUCCUGGGGCUGUAGCCGGUCCCAAGGGUAUGGCUGUUCGCCAUUUAAAGUGGUACGCGAGCUGGGUUCAGAACGUCGUGAGACAGUUCGGUCCCUAUCUGUCGUGGGCGUUGGAGAUUUGAGGGGGGCUGCUCCUAGUACGAGAGGACCGGAGUGGACGUUCCGCUGGUGUUCGGGUUGUCAUGCCCAUGGCAUUGCCCGGUAGCUACGAACGGAAGUGAUAACCGCUGAAAGCAUCUAAGCGGGUAGCACGCCCCAAGAUGAGAUCUCCCGAGAGCUUGACUCUCCUAAAGGCACCAUCAAGACUAGGUGGUUGAUAGGUCAGGUGUGGAAGCGCAGCAAUGCGUUGAGCUAACUGAUACUAAUGAGCCGUGAGGCUUGACCU
rnacentral:rRNA from 1 species